CGCNAGUCCGGCCGCAGGNNNACUCUAAAUAAUGACGGGAGCCCGCACCAGNGGUGGAGCACGUGGUUUAAUUCGCUGCAACGCGAAGAACCUUACCUACUCUUGACAUCCAGAGAACUGGGGGGAGAUGGAUUGGCGCCUUCGGGAACUCUGAGACAGGUGCUGCAUGGCUGUCGUCAGCUCGUGUUGUGAAAUGUUGGGUUAAGUCCCGCAACGAGCGCAACCCUUAUCCUUUGUUGCCAGCGGUCAGGCCGGGAACUCAAAGGAGACUGCCAGUGAUAAACUGGAGGAAGGUGGGGAUGACGUCAAGUCAUCAUGGCCCUUACGAGUAGGGCUACACACGUGCUACAAUGGCGCAUACAAAGAGAAGCGACCUCGCGAGAGCAAGCGGACCUCAUAAAGUGCGUCGUAGUCCGGAUUGGAGUCUGCAACUCGACUCCAUGAAGUCGGAAUCGCUAGUAAUCGUGGAUCAGAAUGCCACGGUGAAUACGUUCCCGGGCCUUGUACACACCGCCCGUCACACCAUGGGAGUGGGUUGCAAAAGAAGUAGGUAGCUUAACCUUUGU
rnacentral:rRNA from 1 species